AUGGAGCUGUUCGAGCGCGCCAAGACGGUGCGGCUGCGGAGCCACCAAAACAAGUACAUGUACGCCGACGAGGACGAGUCCCACGUCCUGCAGGACCGCAACGCCGCGUCCCCGAACGCGCGGUGGACCGUGGAGCUGGUGCCGAACGCGCCGGGCGUCAUCCGCCUCCGCAGCCGCUACGGCCGCUACCUCACCGCCUCCAACGAGCCCAUCCUCAUGGGCGUCACCGGACGCAAGGUGAUCCAGACGCUGCCCCACCGCCUCGACUCUUCCGUUGAGUGGGUCCCAGUCGGCGAAGGCAGGCACGCUCGCCUCCAGACUCGUUACGGCAACUUCCUCCGCGCCAACGGCGGCCUCCCGCCGUUGCGCAACACCGUCACCCAUGACGUCCCCCACCACCGCCAUGCCGGCUGGGUCGUCUGGUGCAUCGAGAUCGUGCAGGUGCUCGUGCAACCGCCUCAAUGCUCCGACCCCAUCACCACCGCCUACUCUCCUCCUCUACCUUACAAACCACACUCUCGCUCGCCCUCGCCCUCGCCCGCGCCCUUGCCGACGGGAGCGCUCAGGCCUCCUGCGCCGCACCACCGUAUGGCGACUCCAUUGACAGCGCAGCCCCCGCCACCUCCCCCCGGCUCCCUAGCGCCCCCUGUCGGAUUUUCAAGGCUCGAGUCGGCGGACUCCUUCUCGGUGCCGGUGCACAAGGUGGAGGGGCGGCACAUCCACUACCAUGUUGCGGAUGACAGCGGUUAUGUGCGUGAGGGAGAUGAGGGGCACUCGUUCCUAUUCAACGGGACAAGCCUUGGGGAGCUGCUGGAGAGACUGCAGGAGGAGACGGGGCUCAAGGACGUGAUCAUCUGCUCCCGCAACCCCAUCACAAGCAAGUUGAUGCCGCUCCGCCUGCAGCUCCCACCCAACAACAGCGCCAUGCACGUCGUGCUCGUGCGCAAGUCCUCAAAAGUGGCAAGAUCUUUUUCAUAA
rnacentral:rRNA from 1 species